AUAUCUUCUUCUCCUCUCCAGAUAAUUCUUCUCAAAUUAAUCUCCCAAUUCUCUUUCAGCGAUCUAAAGGAUCUUCUUCCUUCAAUCACCAUGCAUCAAUGUGAACAAGGGGAAAAGAAAAACGAUGACGGAACCUUGUACCUCAAAGAAACAAGGAAGAAAAAGAGGCAACACCGAUCCUAAUAGUUGAGUAAAUAAGUCUACCCCGCAUUUAUUGUCAUCCCACAAGUUCACUGGCCUUCGACCAAUAAUCAUCGUCUCCCAUGAAAUGGUGUUCCUUCUCACUCAAGGGCUCGGAUCACCAGUCUCCUAUUUUCAUGUCUCUUCCUGUCUCAACCAAUCAGAGUAGUCCACCUGUUCCUAUUCUAAAAAUGCAAAAAUAAAAGUUAACGACGUUUAAUAUGUAAUUACAUGGAUGUUGUCUUCGUCGUUUUCAUGAAACAAUAUUUACUGAA